rnacentral:misc_RNA from 1 species
AAGUCGUAACAAGGUAACCGUAGGUGAACCUGCGGUUGGAUCAUUAAAAAAAAAGGUCUAGGAUGCGCUGUGCCGCGUCCCGGCAGAACAAACCCUGCCACACACUUUUUGUGCACCGUGAUCGUCUCUGGCGGUUGGACGGAGAAUAUCCGUUUGUCAGCUCGGGCAACCGAGCCGUGGACAAGCCGCCGACCACGACCCACUCGAACGUUUUUGGUUUCCGUCUGACACUGCGCACCUUUGUGCGGCAUGUGGAAAAAACGUGCAAACAGAACAACUUUUGGCAACGGAUCUCUUGGCUCUC